CUAACUUCUCGCUCUGUGCAUCCAUUCUCCUCCCGAGUUCUUUGAUCAUCUUUAAGAUCAUUACUCUGAACUCUUUCUCAGGUAGAUUGCCUAUCUCCACUUCACUUAGUAGUUGUUCUGCAGUUUUAUCUUGUUCCUUCACCUGGAACAUAUUUUUCUGCCACCUAAUGUUGUCUCAGUUGCUGUUUGCAUUUUAUGUAUGUCAUAGGUUACCUACGUUUCUCAACCUUGGAGACAUGACCCUCUGUAGGAGGCAGCCUGUGCAUCCCCGCAGUGCAUUCCUCUCUCAUCACCCAGGCUAUAUGCUCUAGAGGUUCCCCCUAAGAGGGCUGCAUGGGUCCUUCUGUGUAGCGGGCUGACUGUAUGGGCUGUCUGGUAGGCUUGGUUAGCCUCUAGUCUGGUUGGUUAACGGGCCCUACUUUGCGCGAAUUCUGCUGUAUGUUGUUUAGCAGGGCCUGGUCCUGAGGUCGCUGGUUACGGAAUCCUAGGGAGCCCCAGGGCUAGUGCUGUCUCGCUGGUAGGUAGAGUCAGGGUCCUGAAGACUCUGGGGCUGUUGCCCACCUACUGGCAGGUGAAACCAGAUCCUGGGGUUGGUGCUGGGCUUCUGGCAGGCAGAGCUGGUUCCUGAAGUCUGGCUGCAGGGCCCAGGGAUCCCAGAUCUCAUUUCAGAUCAUUGGUGGGAGAGGGCCAGUUCCUGACACAGUUGGGUAUGGGGUCUGGAGUGUCCUGAAGGUUGCGUUGCCCUGCUGGUGGGCAAAGGCAGGGCCCAGCCGGUCCCAGGGUAGGGUCUGGCCUGUGUUUCAGGAUCAUAAUUUUCUUGCUUCUGAUGUCUGCUCCCCGGUGGGUGAAACUGGUCUAGAGGCUUGUGCAAGCUUUCCUGGUGGGAGGUGCUGGUGCCUGUCCACUGGUUUGUGGAGCUGGGUCUUGGCCCUCUGGUGGGCUAGGCCAUGACUAGGGGAGUGUCUAGAGGUGGCUGUGAUCUCUUUAGUCUUUAGGCCACCUGUCUGCCAAUGGGUGGGGCUGUGUCCCCACCCAGUUAGUUGUUUGGCCUGAGUCAUCCUAGCACUAGAGCCUACAGGCUAUUGAGUGGGGCCAGGGCUUGGCACUAAUGAGCCAAUAUGGCAGCUGCCGGGAGUGUUCUUGAGGUUGAAUGUUCCCCAAUACGUCUGCCACCAGUGUCUGUGUCCCCAGGGUGAGCCACAGCCACCCUCCCACCUCUCCAGGAGACUCUAAGACCAAGAGACUGGAGAGAGCAUGCAUUCAGACCAGCCUGGUAUUUGGAACUAACAGCAAAGAAAAACUUCCAUCAGAAAUCCUACACCAAUUAACACUCCUUCAUGCUAGAGUGAAUCCAGGAGCAGUGGGUGUCACAUUUUCCCAAAGUGGAGCCUAAGCCAACCUUUCUGCAUUUAACAAGUUAAUGAACAGCUUGUGAGUAACACUUUGCCCACUCUGGCCCAAUUUAGAAGGCUGCCAAAAGGAUAAGAUGUCAAUAUGCCACUCUCUGCUUUGCCGCGGUGCCAGCUGCAUCCUGCCUAAGUGCUUCUGCCCUCAGCCACUGGAGAGCACGAUGUCCUUAGAGAAGGCGGCACCAGUAGGAUGAGGCUGCAGCGCGGGCCUGGCCUUUCCCCAGGCGGAAGAGAGCCUUGUCUCAGAUCCUGUGAGAGAAGUGAGUGGGGCAUGGUAUUCUGAGCAGCCCAGGUUUGGCUUUGGGCCAGGCACUGAGUGGCAAACAAGAAGGAACACAUUCCGGGAAGGCAAGGAGCCCUGCCAACGCGAAGGAGGACCAGCCAGCAGGGCCUGCUGGGCGCCAGGUGCUCCUUGGCUCUGUGGAGGAUGCCCUGAUUCUGCAGUGCAGCCGCUAGGAGAGAGGAGCAGCACAGGGUCACCACCUCACCUAGCUCGAUAGGUGUCCUAACGGCAUGGCCACCAGGUAUCAGACAGACCCCCUUGGCCUGGUCCCUGCACUGUCCCAGGCCCACCUUGGACACCUCCAUUAUACUCAUGGAGAACAGAGCCCGUGGAGUGAAGGACCCUCCUGCAUGGCCUGCAGGUGACAUGGUGAGCUCUGCCCUGUGGUGGCCCAGCACCAUCGUGCCCAGUGCCCAGCCAAGCCCGACAGGCUGCCAUUGGCCACACCCAAAAUCCAGGCAGUCAGGCAGAGAGUACAAAGCAAGCCCUCAGAUCAAAGCCACUGCCCCUCCCAUCCCCCACUUCCCACCUGGGGCACCUUGGAAAUGUUUGAGCACACCAGGGAAAGAUCCAGUACCUGGUCUGCGACCACAGUGGUCAAAAGGCCCUGCUCCACCUGUCUCACCAGGAAAUAGCAGCUGAGGACACAGAAAUGCUGGACCUCUAUUCUCCUUCACAGCCACUGCCACAGUCCCCGGCUGCAGGUAGUGUGUCCUCUCAGAUUCAGCCAGCCUCCUCAUGAGGGGCCAGAACAGAGCCUCUGCACAGAGUGUGAACACUCCUCUUGCUGGAAUCCUGGCCACAGGCCCUCCUCUCCUCAUUCAUAGCUUACCUCACUCCCUCCAGUCUGCCCUGCAUGGGUACCUGGCUGACGGCAGAGAAGUCCUUUGGGCCCCAUAUCAGGGACUCUCAGGUGUCCAAGUGAGAGCACAGUAUGCUGGGAGAGAGCAAAGGCCACACUGGUGGUUUGGGUUCUGGCCUCUGUCCCACCACUGGAGUGAGCCAAGUGACAGGUAUCAAAGCGUGGCCGUUGUCCCUUGCAGCAGCCCCACGUGCUCUUCCUGUAUGUCAGAGCUGUUUCCAAGGAACAAGUUAAAAUAUUCUUUUCAUUUAAGUGGUUGCUGUGGCUUAGUGUACAGAAUUCCUCAGCUAGAUCCAAAAAUCUGGCUUUUUGUCCGAGUCCCCAAAUUGUAGGAGCUUUGUAAACAGGUACUAAAGAUCACUCAUUAAAGGAGGGAGAAGAGUUGGGGGGAGGAGAAGGGAUCCGGAAUAUUUUCUUUCAGACUCUCUCAGCACAGCAGCAGCAUAAACCAAGCAGACUGUUGGUGGCACCUUAGCACCCAGAGCAUUCUUCUCGGAGGAGUGGGGACAAAGGCCAAGUGGCUGUUACCUGCACACAGGAGAGAUGACCAGGUCAGACAAAGGGCCUAGAAGGCAGACAGAUGAGUCAGUGAAGACUUUGUCCACCCAUGAGAGGGGGUCCAGGUGGGAUCUGUGUACCCUGCCCAACCUUGCUGAGGGCCAUCAAGCCAGCUCAAGGGCAAGGCCAAGACCAGCCAGACUAACAAGCAGCCUGGCCAUAGGUUUUGGCUGCUGUCCUUAACCCUCAAUCCCAGAAGCAUGAGAAAGAGAAAAGGCAUCACCUGUGCCCAGGGACUGAGCCGCCCCAAUUCAGGGAGCAUAACUGCUGUUCUAGCCGGGAGAUGCGGAACGCCAGGUACGAUGAAGACAUGACCAAGAAGCAGAUCCUGGAGAAAGAGGGGUAAGGAGGAAUUGAAUCUCUCUUCUAGAAACGGGGCAUUUUUACAGAAUCCCCCAAAAUAGGAGUGGGACUAAGCUAGUUCCUGCAGUUGGAAGAAUUAAAGACCCCUCUGCCUGCAGUUACGUUCUAGACCUAGGCAUCUUUUUUCCCAGAGGCCACAUGGGGGUUCUGAGACUCGUCCCCAUGGAGGUGUCCUUGAAGCCCAGCAGGAGUUCUGGAUCCUUCAGCUGAGCCCACCUUCCCUCUGACCAGCCACCUUGGUCCUACACCCCCUCUGCAAGGCCACUAAGAUUACCCCCUAAGGCGGUAGCCCUUCCCCCAGCAAGUGCUGAGGUUGACAGUCAAAACCCAGCCAGCAGAGCCAGAGGAAGGUGAUGAGGUAAGGUGAGGGAAUCCAGGGGCUGGCUCUUCAUAAAACAUCCCACCAUGCUCACUGCUCUACUUAGGCAGAAUUACAGACAAGCCUGGGCUUCCAGAAAACACCCCAAUGGCGGGCAGCAGGAAGGCCAUGGCUCUCCCUUAGUCUAUCUGAUGGGCCUCUCAGAUUUUGCCAACCCUCCUCCUCCCCAAUCCUGUGCAACUUUUUCUUUCUUCAACAGUUUCAUGUCUUGCCCCUCUCCACAGCCUUAACCCUAAAUUACAGGGUUGUAAGGAUGAAAACUGGAAAUACUUUAUCUUGCUCUAGAAGAGCCUGCUGCACGGCUGCCAGAUGCCACCCGGGAACUUGCAGUUGACUCAGAACCUUCCUCUCGCUCUGGACACUGACCUCCCCACACACCAAGGCCCCGGCUCUAAACACUCAGACACCCACCACCCUCCAUACAGCCACCUACAGCACGAGGAAGACCUUCAGGAGCCCGUGAUCCCAGAGCCUCUGCUCCCCGUUGCUCUUGGGCUCGUCCUCCAGCCUCUUCUCCUCAUAGUCAGCGUUCUCUGCAACAGGACGGCGUUAGGCAUCUUCCUGGGCAGAAGGCAGGACCCCAGCCCACUCCCCCGCCCGUGUUCUCUGGAGCCGCUUGGGCUCUUGGCUUUCCCUUAUGGAUUUGGAGAAAGAAAGAAACAGCUCUCAGAAGCCCUGCUGGCUGUGAUGACCUCUUUUUGCAGAAGUGGGAGGCGGGAAAGCCUGGUCUUUGCAAGCAGUUGCCAUGGACAAGCACGCUGAACUCACCAGACCCCGGAGGCUUCCUGGAGGGGAAGAAGUCAUCCGUGGAUGCCCGAGGGAUACAAGGGAUAUUGUCUGGGAGGGACAGGGACCUGGAGGCAGGGCACACUUUUCUCCACUUCAUCUCAGGGAUGGGGACUUCCUGCAGAGAAGGCAGGAGAAGCUGUCUCCCAUGGCCCUUGGGACCUCACUUGCCCUAAGGGGUUCACGCUAGAUUUAUCAAAGGCUUUCCAGAUAUUAUCAAUAUGGAUGCCUAGCAAGCAUGAAAGCGGGUGCCCAGAAGCGGGGAAACCACUGCCAUAGCAAUCACAUGUCUCAUCUGCUCCCUUGCUGUGAGCAGCCACUCUUCCAGGGAAUGGUGUCUUUGAAGACUGCUAGUGUAGAACCACAGUGGAAUCUAAGACAUGAGCCAUCCCAGGUGCGUGUUCAGACCGGCUGAGUCCAAGACAGCUUGGCACUGUAUAUCUUAGAUGGAACAAGUUGUGACUCCUGCUAAUCUGGGCUCUAACCCUGUGUCACUAGCCUUGACUUAAGGUCCCCAUCAAUAAAAAGGGGAACAUCGCCUUCCAUCCCCUGCAUGGCAUUGUGUGUAUUGUAUGCUUGGCUAAACGUUUAAUAGUUACUGAAGUAGACUUCAAACACCCUGGGGUCAUUUCCACCCCCCACCCCUGCUCUAGAAACUGCUUACCCAGGAUCCCAGGAGCAAAAGAAACAGCUGGGACCUUGGCCAAUCUAAAAGGAUCCUGCCUCGGUUCUGACUGCCUUCAGCACUCUUCCCCAGGGACAUCUGCAGCCCCUUCAAGGCCCUCCUGACUGCUAAAGAGGAUGGGGUGCUGGCUCUGUACCCGCGAAGGUAUAGGGUCCAACCUGGGCAGUGUUCCGGGGGCUGGGCACCUGUUCUGCUCAGGAAGUUAGCACGUCUGCCCAGGACAGCGGCUCUGCAUGGUAAGGAGCUGGAACCUGGAACCUGCAGAUCCCAGCGCUCCGUCCCUCUGGGCAGUGUCACCAGGCAAAGUCAAAUUCUCUUCUUCAAGAACAGAGUUACUGGGACUUCCCCGGUGAUCCAGUGGGUAAGACUCCACACUCCCAACGCAGGGGGCCGGGGUUCGAUCCCUGGUCAGGGAACUUGAUCCCACAUGCGUGCAGCAACUAAAAGUGCACGUGCCGCAACUAAAGAUCCCGCGUGCCACAACAAAGAUCCCGACGCGGUGCAGCCAAAAUAAAUAAAUAUUUUUAAAAAUAAAAUUAAAUUAAAAAAUAAAUUAAAUAAAUAAAUAAAAGAAGAGUUACUGCCUAGCCAAGAUCUGCCAAGCCCCUCCAGGAUUAUUAAUCUGACCCUCCUCCCACCCUACCAUUGUACAGAUAGGAAACUGAGACCUGCCAGGGACAGGCUGUACCCAGUGUCACACAGCAAAGAGCCAGGUGAUCUCACCCACCAAAUGAGCCCAACCACAGCCAUGUGGCCUGAUUACCUCUGUCCUCAACCUUACGGUCAGUUUUGGUGCACAUAUCAUGUAUGUCCUGAAUCUUUCAAAGUGACAGGUUGUGCUAGCGAUGUGACCCUUUGACUCCUAAAGUUAAUUUCUGAAUUUAUUUGGGUCCAUCAUAACACAUUUCACAGAGACUUCUCCCCCUUGAUUUUUUUAAUGCUUAUUAUAGAAAAUAUGAGAAAUAUAAAAUAUAUAAAGCAUUAUGAUCAAAAAUCACCCAUAAGAAAAAAAUUCCCCCAAAAUCACCCAAAGAAAACAUUUAUGCAUAAAUAUAUAAUUUACGUAAGUGGGAUUAUAUAUCAUAUAAUUUGUAUGCCCUAUUUUUGCUUAACAUAAUUUCAUGAGAAAUUCCCCAUGUCCCUAUUCAUUCCUUGGAUAGAUUCUCAGAAGUGAAAUUUGUGGAUGGAGAAUGAGCAUUUCUCAGGAUCUUCAGACCCACUUCCAAAAUGCUUUCCAGGUGCUCUACCAACGAGCAUGGCCAUCAGCACUAUAUGAGGGUGCCCGUUGCCCUACAUCCAGGCCAUACACUGGGUAUUAUCUUUUUCUCACCUUUGCAAAUUUGAUAGGCGAAAAUAUAUUGUUUUCAUUUCUAUUUCUGCUUAUUGACAGGUUGAACAUUUUUGCCAAAUACAUAUUAACCACUGGGAUUUCAUCUGUGAAUUGUCUAUAAGGAUCUUCAUGUCUUUCUUAUUGAUUUGUAUACCUUCUUUGUUGAGAAGAUUAAUCCUUAGUUUAUCAUUUUUGCAAAUACUUCCCCCAUUUGCCUUUCAGUUCUGUGGUAUUGUUGCUGUACUUGUGUUUAAUUUUUGUGCGGCCCAUUCCAUCCCUCUCUUUCAUCUCUCUGUUUCUUUCUUGCUUUGAGGAUAAGAGAGGCCCCUGAGGCAGAGUGUGUACAAGUCAAACCACCGAGCCUUAGAGACCUUGAACCCUACAGCCCAGGAGCCCACGGGGCCACCAGGGAGGAGAUGGGUGUGGGCUCCGCUCUAAGGAACACACUCCAGCCCUGGGGACCAAGGAUAAAACAAGACCCCAAGAGGAAGAAGGAGGAACUUGAUCAUGGUUUCAGAGGCAGGGAGCCUGUCACUCAGGCACUGGAAAGUGUGAUACGAGUUGUCAGGGCUGCAGGAGCUCAGAGGACACACAGAGUGAAAGAGUUACAGCAGGACUCCCAGAGAAAAGGAAGCUGAGCCUUACCAGCUGGGUGGGACUAUAAUCCUGCUUGGCUUCCAUCAUCUAACCCUGCGUAAUAAUCACGCCUUUGCAUAGAUUCUAAACCCAACCCAUCCUUAGGUUCAAAUGUGACCUCAGGGAGGGGCGCCUUCUGUCAGUCCUCCCCCAGCCUAGUGAUGAGCCCUACUGCAGGCUCUCAGCCCUGAACCCCAGGCUCCCUCUCAGGCACCUGUGUGUGAGCUCUAACUGCCCACCUCCAGGGGCUCCAGGACGCCUCCUGCAACAUCGCAGCCCCUGAGCCUAGGGCACCGCCAGCGUGCAACAGGCACUCGUGACGUGACAUGUCUGAGGAAGGACUGUGUGGACAGUGUAAGUGAGAUCAAGAACAGAGGUUGGAGGAGAGAUGGGCCAUGAGAAUAACAAAAAAAGGCUGCCACGAUUCCCACAGCAUCUCCAUGAAAAAAAUAACGGUAAGAAAACAGGAGUCCCUUGGGGUAAAUGACUCAAAUAUGUUCAAACUCAAAGCAACCCCUUUUCGUGUGAUGAACAUGAUGGUCACAAGCCAAUCCUUCAUGUCCAUCGAUUAAAAUCAGCCCCUCCGGGCCGUCCUGAUAAUGCUGUUGAUACAGAGACCCUGGCUAUGGCCAAAAUGCACUGCUUUCAAAAUCACCUUCAAGUCAGACUUUCUACUGAUUCGUCUUCUUUCCCAUAGUAUUUGUUUAGAUGAGUAAAAAUAAAGAGAUGGGAGCAAAGUCAGAGGAAAAGCUAGGUCUGGGGUGAUAGUCAUUGAGAAUUCACCAACAGAACCAGGCAGGUGGGGUCCACCCAAGGAGCAACAGGGCCCUGACCCAGACGAAGGAGGUGGCAAGAGCAGGGCGCUGGAGAGUGAGGGGCCAGGCUGGGUCCCCGCCCCCUGCCGGCAGUCUCUGUCCACUCCCACAGAGCCUUCCUCAACCUAGUUGCUCUUGCUAUGUGUGUUGUGAACCAUACCCGCUGCCCAUCCAGCCCCAUCACACCUCCAUGUGCAGACUAUGGAGUUAAUAUCAAGGGUCUUCAAAACCGUAUCUAUUUUUUCAAUCAAAGCCACAAAAAAAUGUCGUUAUUGUCAUGAGGGUGAUGGAGCACGGGAGGCUCAGUAGGCUGGACAUUAAAGGGGGUAGAAAAGGUUUGAAAAUUCCUCAGAUGAGGCCCUUUCAUUCUGCUGAGCCUAGUCCAAAGGCAAGAUGCUGAUCCAGAGGACACAACUUGUGCUUGCCCUGCCCUCAGGCCUUGCUGGCCCCAGUGGGAACUCAGGCUAACUGCCCAUUCCUUCAUUCCUUACUGAGCUUAUCACCCCAGGAACCCAGUAUGAGCCUGCCCAGCCCAGGGGGCUGCUGAGAGGGAGGGGAUGGGCAGCUAGCACUGAGAGACGUCGGGAGAGAAGCAAGGCCCAUCAGGAAAGGGGAGACACAGGGAAUUCCCUGGUGGUCCAGUGGUAGGACUCCGCACUUUCACAGCCAAGGGCCCGGGUUCAAUCCCUGGUCGGAGAACUAAGAUCCUGUAAGCCAAGCAGCACAGCUGGAAAAAAAAGAAGGAAAGGGGAGACACAGAGAGGUUAGGAGAGGGAGAGAGAGGCAGUGCAGAGAAGACCCAGAGAGGCUGAGUCUAGCUGCUUCCUAGGGACCUCACAGACGAAGCUUCAUGGGACACUUGACACAUGCACUCCGCUCUGGAUGCCUCCCCCGGGCUCAAAAUAUCCACACCAGGUAGAUACUCCCCCACCUAAAUCCCUAAUGUGACACCUCGUCCCUCCAGAGCGGCAGAGCCUGCCAUCUAGACGAAUCCAUCAAAGUGAGCUCAGCAUCAUCCCCCCAAAUCUGCUUCCCCUUGAAAGACCCCGUCCUCCACAGUUACCCAAGCCAGAGUCCUCAACUCACGCUGCUUCUCCACUGCUGCAACCAGUCAACCGCCAAGGCCCCGAGAGCCUGGCACCACCCGACCCACCGUACCAUCUACUGUCUCCACUCCUGCUACAGCAGGCAAGCCUAGGCCACCAUCAUCCUCUUCCUCGAUGCUGGCAACAGCUUCCUAACUACACCUGCCCCCAGCCUUGCCCUUCCACACCUGGCACUCUCCCACACCCACACUGCCAACAGAGCCACCUGGGGCCCAGAUCUGAGCCUGCCCCCCUCCUGCUGACUUUCCUCCUGUAGUUCCUUCUUGCCUCCUACCUGGCCUUCCUGACCUUCCUGCUUCCUUUCCAGCCUCACCCCUACAGCUCAGCGGCAGCCCUUCACCCCUGCAUGUUUGCUCUUCCUGGAAUUCCUUGCCAUGCUUAUCUACCUGGGGAAUUCCCUGGUCGUCUUUCAAAGCCCAGAUCAGGCGUCACCUUCUCUGUGAAGCCUUCCCAGCUUUCCCCCAUGCAGAGCUGGUCAUCCCUCCUCUAUGGUCCCUGGUCCCUUCUUUCACGCUGCUGCUCCAGCCCUUACCACCCCAGACUGUGCUUGUCUGUUUAGACAUCUGAGCUCCACCAGGGGUGUGUCUUCUACAUCUCUGUACCAGCAGCACACAGCAGGCGCCCAAUGUUUGCUAAAUGAAUGCGUGAAGGAGAGACAGAGAAAGGGACACGAUGACACUUCAAGAGGGAGGACGGGAGAAAAAAAGCCGGGUAGUAGGGACUUCCCUGGUGGCUCAGGGUUAAGAAUCCGCCUGCCAGUGCAGGGGACACGGGUUCAAGCCCUGGUCCAGGAAGAUCCCACAUGCCGCGGAGGAACUAAGCUCAUGCACCACAACUACCCAGCCUGCGCUCUAGAGCCCUCGAUCCACAACUACUGAGCCCACGUGCCACAACUACUGAAGCCUGUGCGACUAGAGCCCGUGCUCGGCAACAAGAGAAGCCACCGCAAUGAGAAGCCCGUGCACCGCAACGAAGAGUAGCCCCCGCUCGCCGCAACUAGAGAAAGCCCGUGCGCAGCAACGAAGAUCCAAUGCAGCCAAAAAUAAAUAAAUAAAUAAAAAAUUUAAAAGCCAGGCAGUAAGAGUGAAGGAGGCACAGAGAAUGAUGGAUGCCCAGCAGUAAGGGGAGGGGUGGUGGACAGGAGUGGAGGGGGGUCACCCACAGAUGGGCCCUCCCCUCCGGGAGCCCCGGCCUGUGGAGCAGGCAGACAGCCCGGCCCGGCAGCGCCAGGCACUCAAUCCACGCCGGCUGACUGAUCAAAGAGGAGCCCGGGUGGGAGACAGAGGACAUACGGAAAAGGGUGAAGUGGCUCGGAAGGGAUGGGAGGGGGUGUUUGGGGAAAAGCACAGGCUGGGCCCCUCCCAGCCCCACAGCAGUGCUCACUGGCUGCACCCCGCUGGGCUGUCGCAGCUCCACCCGCUCCCCAGCCCCUCCACCAGAACCCUCCCUAACCACAGGGCAACCCCUCCCCUCGCUCCUCAAGCCUCGGGCAGCAGCAGUGCCCGUGGCUGGUGCUGAAGCAGAAAACUCGGCCAGGCCUGGCAGCCGGAGCCAGCUGGGCCUUUGUGGUCACUGGAGGGUCCCCUCAGGUGUCUCCUCCCCCAGGGGGAUGUCCACACUCUCCCAAGUUGUCUUCUAGUGGACACCUGAGAUGCUAGAGUGUCCUGUGGGCCCUGUCAGCUCUUCUCAAGGCCAGGGCCAGCUCCCCCCACUCCUGCAGGACGUGGGUCCCAAUCAGCUCCAAGGAGAGACCUUUUCCAAACAGAAAACACAUCUUAGAGAAUUCCCUGGCGGUCCAGUGGUUAGGACUCCGCGCUGGCACUGCCCAGGUGGGGUUCAAUCCCUGCUUGGGGAACUAAGAUCCCGCAAGCCACGUGGAGUGGCCAAAAAAAAGAAAGAAAACCCAUCUUAGCAGCAGGCCCCUGAGAGUGCAAAGCCAGAGACAGCGAAUAGAGCCAUCUAGGGACAGGGAGCUGAGGGCGCGUGUCCUGGAAGGAACGUCCACCCCUGGGGCUCAGCAGCCUAGACCUUGGGGCGCCUCCAGAUUCCCCCAGGCUCCCUCACCCCACCCCACCUCUACAUCUCAGCACACAGCUCACCACCUACUUCACAGAGAAAAAAGACCAUCCUGUUAACUCAGAAGGGUAGCCUGCCGGGUACACACUAGAAUCACCUGUAGAGCUUUUCAAAAAACCAACCAAAGAAAAAUGAUCCCUGAGCUCUGUUCUCAAACCAGUUAAAUCAGAACCUCUGGGGGUAGCAUUUAGGUAACUAUAUAUUUUUAACUUGUUACUGAUGUGUAAUUUACAUAUUGAAAAGUGCACACAAAGUAAGUGAACCGUGCAACGCAUUUCACAAACGGUGCAUACCGGAGAAGCUGCCCUCCAGAAGCCCCUCCCACGCCUUCUAGUCUCACUGCCCACUCCCAACCCCCCACCCCCGGUCAAAGAGAACCACCUACGCGACUUGCAACAACACAGAUUGUCUUUGCCUCUUCGGGGACUUUCUGUGGAUGGAAUCACGUGGUACGUGUUCUUUUACUCGGCAACACACUGGUGAGAUUCAUCCACACUGCUGUGUGUGGCUGCAAACUCUGCAUUUUCACUAAUGUUUAGAGUUCCAUUAUAUGGACAUGUUGCAACUGAUUUAUUAAUCUUACUGUUGAGGGGCAUUUUACUAUUGAGUUUCCAGUUUUUGCCUGUUACAAAACCGUUGCUAUAAACAUUUCAGCACCUUGUGUCUUGUGCACACAAAUAUUCGUUUCUAUGAGUAAACACUUAGGGUUGGUAUUGCUGGGUCAUGAGGUUCAGCCUCAGGCUUUUAAAAGCUCUCGGGUGAUUUUAAACCCCUCCUUUGUUUGGGGCUCAGAGGGAGACGCAUACCUCCUGGUCUCCGAGGCCAGUCCUCCCACCUGGGCUCCGGACCUGGGGCCCUGACCCUCCUGUGCCUUCACCCGGCCCUCUGGAGUUCCAGGAACAUCCUUGGCAAAACAGGGAAUCACGCUCUUAAUAGAGAUUUCCUUCAUCUGUUAAGGUCGCAGAGUUCAUUUCCCGAGUUUUGUCAAGGAAGUAAGGCCAGCCCUCCCGUGUGGCAGCGUCCAGCCCUGAACCACACUGUGUCCUGCCCAAGAGCCCCCCCUAUCUUUCUCUCAGGGCCACUGGCCCGAAGUACAGCCCAGAAAAUGGCUGACAAGACCUCUCCCCAAGGGAAACUGGAAUAACGUGGACAGAGUCAGGCUCGUCGUCAGUACACUGAAACUUGAAGUGGAAAGGCAAUCUCCUUUUGCAAAAAAAUAA